GAUAUGAUACAGGAGAAACAACACGAUCGGGGAGGCGGCGCAUCUUCGGGGAGGAUAAGAGGACAGGGGAGAAGUAAGGCCUGGUGGCUGCUAAGCAGGUGCUCGCCGGCGAGCGGGCUCCGGCGGCCGCCUAGCGCGCGGAGUUGGAUCGGGGCGUAUCCCCGCGGCCGUGGUUGUACUCGCUACGCCGCCUGCCCAAAAGAACCGGUGCUCCCCGCCGCCUGCCUCUCUUACCCACGUGAAGCUACCACUCCCUUCCUCCUCCGCCAGCCCCAAGAGUGCCCACCCCGUUGCCCGAUCGGCUGCACCAGCGCCCUGCCGGUGGCGCUCGUCGGCCCUCCCCGCCGGCCCCGCGCCGUACCCGUCGUCUCCUCAAUCUGUUGUCAGGGGACAUGCCAGCGCCCUCCCAGUGGCCCUCGCCGACCCUCCCCGCCGUCCCCGUGUCGUAUCCGCCAUCUCCCCAAUCCGCAGCUAGAGGACACGCCAAGAAGCUUCAGUCAUGAGGCCGUCGCGCCGGAGGUCUUCCAUCUCAGAUUUGUUUUCUUUACGGUAUUUCCUCAGUGAUGUGAUGCUUCAACUUCUCUUCCGGUGCUUCUCAAAUUGAUGUAACCAAGAGUAUGUCGUGGAUCACCAUUUUAGAUUCUGAAAUUUAUUGUCAUCUACCCGUCGUUCUGAACAUCAUUUGUCAUUUUUCAGCGAUGCACAACUUUACUGUCAGGUUUAUAGUCAUCAAGCAGUCCUAAAUUUUAAGGUUAUAUCAACAUUUAUAUUCUUGAUUACAGGGUGUUGUCAAGAAUUUCAUCAUGGCCACUGCUUUCCCACCGAGGUAUUUGCCGCAUGCAGCCAUGCACAAGUGUCGUCACUUGCAUCUCCUCUGUGCGUUCCCGUCAUUCCAUGCCGCACGAGGCUGCAGUCACCACACCCUUGAGUAGGUAAUUCAUCAAUUGAUAGUUUUUGUCCCUGCCGUGACUUGCAUCUUUCUACCUUGCUUCAAAUUUAAUUUGAUUGAAUGUCAAAUAAAGAUCAACUUUAUCUCUGAUUGAUUCAUGGAAGUGCAAGCUGAAUUAUAUUCAGGAUAUUCUGAUUAUUACUUCCAAGUUAUAUUCUAACACAAUGUCUUUGGUUUAACAACUUGCAAGUGUUUCUUGUACUGAUGUUAACCUCAUAAAAAAGACUCCCAGGUGGACAUCUGCUAUAAAUAAUCAGGUACUGCUUUCCAUUAUCAAAUUCAAAUGCUCAGUGAAACUAUCCAAUGGAUGGACUGGUUGUUUAACACUGAAUCAUCAACACUUUAUUCUCAUCUUAUCUCCUCUUCCAUUCACUGAAACAUCUGCAGUGCACGCUUGUUACUUCUUUGACUGCUUGAACAUAAAUAUUGAGAAAACUCAAUUUUCUAUGGGCAUGAAUAAUCUUUCGAUUCAUACAUAAAAUCAAAAUGUGGUUCCAGUUCCAGGAGGUAUGGCAUGAUUUCUCUGCUGGCGUGUGUGUGUGUUGCUUGUUUGUCUGUUGCCGGCUGGAUUGCACAGCGGCGAUGCCGGGAGCCGGGGGUCAUUGGAAAAGUGAGAUGCCGACGUCACUCAAAACGAUCCUUGGCGUGAUGUGAUGCUUCAACUUCUCUUCCGGUGCUUCUCAAAUUGAUGUAACCAAGAGUAUGUCGUGGAUCACCAUUUUAGAUUCUGAAAUUUAUUGUCAUCUACCCGUCGUUCUGAACAUCAUUUGUCAUUUUUCAGCGAUGCACAACUUUACUGUCAGGUUUAUAGUCAUCAAGCAGUCCUAAAUUUUAAGGUUAUAUCAACAUUUAUAUUCUUGAUUACAGGGUGUUGUCAAGAAUUUCAUCAUGGCCACUGCUUUCCCACCGAGGUAUUUGCCGCAUGCAGCCAUGCACAAGUGUCGUCACUUGCAUCUCCUCUGUGCGUUCCCGUCAUUCCAUGCCGCACGAGGCUGCAGUCACCACACCCUUGAGUAGGUAAUUCAUCAAUUGAUAGUUUUUGUCCCUGCCGUGACUUGCAUCUUUCUACCUUGCUUCAAAUUUAAUUUGAUUGAAUGUCAAAUAAAGAUCAACUUUAUCUCUGAUUGAUUCAUGGAAGUGCAAGCUGAAUUAUAUUCAGGAUAUUCUGAUUAUUACUUCCAAGUUAUAUUCUAACACAAUGUCUUUGGUUUAACAACUUGCAAGUGUUUCUUGUACUGAUGUUAACCUCAUAAAAAAGACUCCCAGGUGGACAUCUGCUAUAAAUAAUCAGGUACUGCUUUCCAUUAUCAAAUUCAAAUGCUCAGUGAAACUAUCCAAUGGAUGGACUGGUUGUUUAACACUGAAUCAUCAACACUUUAUUCUCAUCUUAUCUCCUCUUCCAUUCACUGAAACAUCUGCAGUGCACGCUUGUUACUUCUUUGACUGCUUGAACAUAAAUAUUGAGAAAACUCAAUUUUCUAUGGGCAUGAAUAAUCUUUCGAUUCAUACAUAAAAUCAAAAUGUGGUUCCAGUUCCAGGAGGUAUGGCAUGAUUUCUCUGCUGGCGUGUGUGUGUGUUGCUUGUUUGUCUGUUGCCGGCUGGAUUGCACAGCGGCGAUGCCGGGAGCCGGGGGUCAUUGGAAAAGUGAGAUGCCGACGUCACUCAAAACGAUCCUUGCAUGGUAUUGACAGAAUCAUCCACAAAUUAUUUGAUGGCAUUGACCCUUGCUUGGCACGUGCUUGGCAUUGACUGAAUCCUACAUUGGCGAGCUUGUAUCCCGACCAACCUCUUUGUCUUCAUUUUUUAGAAGCUAACUCACUUGGUUUGUGCGCUCCAAUUUGCAUAUAGAGAGGUUCAGAUGUCUGGCCAGCUAGGCACUGCCUAUUUCUCUAAACCUGAAAAUUCAAAAAUCACUUUAGUUUUCACUAACACAGCUAGGGCCAACACCUGCUAUCAAAAGAGCCUCAACAGUGGACGGGGUGGCGGAGUAGUCACGUACCAACAAUACAGUAACUGCUAGCUAUACUUCUGGAGCAAAUUCUUUGUCGUAGUCAUCAGGCCGCAGAUGGCGUUGCCGGGAUACACGCCCACCAAGGUCUCCGGCCAUAUAGGCCCAUGAGGGAUCCAGGGUGUUGCUCUAUGCAGCAUCAUGACCACAAUGGUGACUUUGUUUUGAAAAUACUAUUUGAAUGGCAUCACAACAUUGAGUACACAUUUUUUUUUCAACAGUUGCUUUAUUUUUAUACAAUGUGAAUCUCCCUGGGUUAGAGCUUGAGACGUGCGUUACACACGGUUAAUUUUUCACGAUUUAUUGUUGUUGCUAUUUCCCACGAGGUACUUGAUAAAAAGUGUUCGGCGUGUGGUGCUCUUCAAUGACUUGUUCUCUUUUGAAGAGCAAGCAAUAGAGCAUGAGAGUGCCGUGAUCCUCCAAAUUCCUGCUCGCUUCUAUACCCGUAUAUCUGUUAUUUUUGACUGAUUUUAUUCCCUUGAAUGCUACAUAAGAGGUGUCUUUGCAGAGCUUAAGAACAAUUUAUUUGGUUGGAGCUAACUAAUACUGUAUUGCAAAGGGCCAGACAGCCAACCAACUACAAAUGGACUGCCCGAAUUUAUCCAUGUGUUGGAAUAGAUGAUAUUUGAUGAUUUGAACCUUGCAACGGGGUGUGAGACUUUAGCAUGCUCUGUACAUAAGCAGGGAGUUCAGGGGCAGAACUGAAGGUAGACUCGGGUGCAGUUAUCCACUCCUACUUGCUUUCACUAGAACAACAUAUUACACUGUGAAAGCAAGAUCAUGCACUGGCAUCGGUUUUAUUACUCCACAGAUGUGGGUCAUCGGCCAUGACAAAAUAUGGGAUAACAAAUAUUAUGGAUACAAGAUGGCAACAUAAACUUCGCAAUUUUAUGAUUUGUGAUCUCGUAGAUUUUUGCCAUGCGGAGGACAAAUGAUUCUGGCUAUAUGCACUGGAGUUUAAUCCAUGUAUGUGAACUAAUUAGAUAUCGAUCUAUGUAAAUUUGGAGAAUCAUAUGUGUUUGAGAUGAUUUGAGAGUGCCCUUACCGGCCGUGUAGGUCCAUGGUAAUUCGAUUGUUCUGAUUUGUGUUCCAUUUUUACUUAACGGAGAUGUAUUUUCACUAUUAAGUGUAAUAAUUAAUAACUAUUGGAUGUGUUCCGCAACGCGAUA